GCUUCAGGUAGAGGCUUCAGGUAGAUCUCUGCCCCACGAGGUGCCUGGUUUUUGCAAAGAACAAAGGGCGGGAUGUUUUCCCCGGCUCCACCGGCGUCGCUGGCACCAGCAGCAGGCCCAGGAUUCUCCUAGAUGAAGAAUUCCUUGUCCAGCCCAAGCAUCCUGAAUCCUGUAAUUCUUCAGUCCCUUCAGUGCCAGAGAACAGGGCUGUUGUGCCUCUCCAGCUCUGCCUUGUGGCACCACACCCUCCAGAUGCACUCACUAAAUAAUCACGAGUUAUUUUUGCAAAAGAAGAGAUGAACACCUGCAAAAUACUCUCUAGUUUUCUCCUAAUAUACAUGUUUGAAAUAAAACAACAGAAAUCACUGGGGCAAAAUCAGUGAAAAAACCAA